ACGAACGCUGGCGGCGUGCUUAACACAUGCAAGUCGAACGGAAAGGCCCUGCUUUUGUGGGGUGCUCGAGUGGCGAACGGGUGAGUAACACGUGAGUAUCCUGCCCUUGACUUUGGGAUAACUUCAGGAAACUGGGGCUAAUACCGGAUAGGAGCUCCUGCUGCAUGGUGGGGGUUGGAAAGUUUCGGCGGUUGGGGAUGGACUCGCGGCUUAUCAGCUUGUUGGUGGGGUAGUGGCUUACCAAGGCUUUGACGGGUAGCCGGCCUGAGAGGGUGACCGGCCACAUUGGGACUGAGAUACGGCCCAGACUCCUACGGGAGGCAGCAGUGGGGAAUAUUGCACAAUGGGCGGAAGCCUGAUGCAGCAACGCCGCGUGCGGGAUGACGGCCUUCGGGUUGUAAACCGCUUUCGCCUGUGACGAAGCGUGAGUGACGGUAAUGGGUAAAGAAGCACCGGCUAACUACGUG
rnacentral:rRNA from 1 species